CCUACGGGUGGCAGCAGUGAGGAAUAUUGGUCAAUGGACGAGAGUCUGAACCAGCCAAGUAGCGUGAAGGAUGACUGCCCUAUGGGUUGUAAACUUCUUUUAUAUGGAAAUAAAAUGUUCCACGUGUGGGAUUUUGUAUGUACCAUAUGAAUAAGGAUCGGCUAACUCCGUGCCAGCAGCCGCGGUAAUACGGAGGAUCCGAGCGUUAUCCGGAUUUAUUGGGUUUAAAGGGAGCGUAGGUGGAUUGUUAAGUCAGUUGUGAAAGUUUGCGGCUCAACCGUAAAAUUGCAGUUGAAACUGGCAGUCUUGAGUACAGUAGAGAUGGGCGGAAUUCGUGGUGUAGCGGUGAAAUGCUUAGAUAUCACGAAGAACUCCGAUUGCGAAGGCAGUUCACUGGACUGCAACUGACACUGAGGCUCGAAAGUGUGGGUAUCAAACAGGAUUAGAGACCCCUGUAGUC
rnacentral:rRNA from 1 species